GUAACACGUGGCUAACCUGCCCUUAAGUGGGGGAUAACAUUUGGAAACAGAUGCUAAUACCGCAUAAAUCCAAGAACCGCAUGGUUCUUGGCUGAAAGAUGGCGUAAGCUAUCGCUUUUGGAUGGACCCGCGGCGUAUUAGCUAGUUGGUGAGGUAACGGCUCACCAAGGCAAUGAUACGUAGCCGAACUGAGAGGUUGAUCGGCCACAUUGGGACUGAGACACGGCCCAAACUCCUACGGGAGGCAGCAGUAGGGAAUCUUCCACAAUGGACGCAAGUCUGAUGGAGCAACGCCGCGUGAGUGAAGAAGGCUUUCGGGUCGUAAAACUCUGUUGUUGGAGAAGAAUGGUCGGCAGAGUAACUGUUGUCGGCGUGACGGUAUCCAACCAGAAAGCCACGGCUAACUACGUGCCAGCAGCCGCGGUAAUACGUAGGUGGCAAGCGUUAUCCGGAUUUAUUGGGCGUAAAGCGAGCGCAGGCGGUUUUUUAAGUCUGAUGUGAAAGCCCUCGGCUUAACCGAGGAAGUGCAUCGGAAACUGGGAAACUUGAGUGCAGAAGAGGACAGUGGAACUCCAUGUGUAGCGGUGAAAUGCGUAGAUAUAUGGAAGAACACCAGUGGCGAAGGCGGCUGUCUGGUCUGUAACUGACGCUGAGGCUCGAAAGCAUGGGUAGCGAACAGGAUUAGAUACCCUGGUAGUCCAUGCCGUAAACGAUGAAUGCUAGGUGUUGGAGGGUUUCCGCCCUUCAGUGCCGCAGCUAACGCAUUAAGCAUUCCGCCUGGGGAGUACGACCGCAAGGUUGAAACUCAAAGGAAUUGACGGGGGCCCGCACAAGCGGUGGAGCAUGUGGUUUAAUUCGAAGCAACGCGAAGAACCUUACCAGGUCUUGACAUCUUUUGAUCACCUGAGAGAUCAGGUUUCCCCUUCGGGGGCAAAAUGACAGGUGGUGCAUGGUUGUCGUCAGCUCGUGUCGUGAGAUGUUGGGUUAAGUCCCGCAACGAGCGCAACCCUUAUGACUAGUUGCCAGCAUUUAGUUGGGCACUCUAGUAAGACUGCCGGUGACAAACCGGAGGAAGGUGGGGAUGACGUCAAAUCAUCAUGCCCCUUAUGACCUGGGCUACACACGUGCUACAAUGGAUGGUACAACGAGUUGCGAGACCGCGAGGUCAAGCUAAUCUCUUAAAGCCAUUCUCAGUUCGGACUGUAGGCUGCAACUCGCCUACACGAAGUCCGAAUCGCUAGUAAUCGC
rnacentral:rRNA from 2 species